rnacentral:rRNA from 1 species
GACGAACGCUGGCGGCGUGCCUAAUACAUGCAAGUAGAACGCUGAAGAGAGGAGCUUGCUCUUCUUGGAUGAGUUGCGAACGGGUGAGUAACGCGUAGGUAACCUGCCUUGUAGCGGGGGAUAACUAUUGGAAACGAUAGCUAAUACCGCAUAACAAUGGAUGACACAUGUCAUUUAUUUGAAAGGGGCAAUUGCUCCACUAUAAGAUGGACCUGCGUUGUAUUAGCUAGUAGGGGAGGUAAUGGCUCACCUAGGCGACGAUACAUAGCCGACCUGAGAGGGUGAUCGGCCAACCUGGGACUGAGACACGGCCCAGACUCCUACGGGAGGCAGCAGGAGGGAAGCUUCGGCAAUGGGGGCAACCCUGACCGGGCAACGCCGCGGGAGUGAAGAAGGUUUUCGGAUCGUAAAGCUCUGUUGUAAGUCAAGAACGGGUGUGGGAGUGGAAAGUUCACACUGUGACGGUAGCUUACCAGAAAGGGACGGCUAACUACGUG